AACGUAGGACACAAGCGUUAUCCGGAGUUACUGGGCGUAAAGGGCGUGUAGGCGGAGAUGUAAGUCUAUUCUGAAAGCUCCUGGCUAAACUGGGAGAGGCGAAUGGAGACUGCAUAUCUAGAGUGAGGAAGAGGAAAGUGGAAUUCCGCGUGUAGUGGUGAAAUGCGUAGAGAUGCGGAGGAACACCAGUGGCGAAGGCGGUUCUCUGGGCCUUACCUGACGCUGAGGAGCGAAAGCGUGGGGAGCGAACAGG
rnacentral:rRNA from 1 species